UCAAGUGAAUAAGCGUGCACGGUGGAUGCCUAGGCAGUCAGAGGCGAUGAAGGACGUGGUAACCUGCGAAAAGCUUUGGGAAGGUGGUAAACAACCUAUGAUCCAGAGAUAUCCGAAUGGGGAAACCCACCCAGCGUAAGCUGGGUAUCUUAUACUGAAUACAUAGGUAUAAGAGGCGAACCGGGAGAACUGAAACAUCUAAGUACCCCGAGGAAAAGAAAUCAAUUGAGAUUCCCCUAGUAGCGGCGAGCGAACGGGGAUUAGCCCUUAAGUUUAUUAUGUUUUAGCGGAAGUAGCUGGAAAGUUACGCCAUAGUGGGUGAUAGCCCCGUACGCGAAAAGGCAUUUUAGAUGAAAACGAGUAGGUCGGGACACGAGAAAUCUUGACUGAACAUGGGGGGACCAUCCUCCAAGGCUAAAUACUCCUGACUGACCGAUAGUGAACCAGUACCGUGAGGGAAAGGCGAAAAGAACCCCUGUGAGGGGAGUGAAAUAGAUCCUGAAACCGUGUACGUACAAGCAGUGGGAGCCGAUUUAUUCGGUGACUGCGUACCUUUUGUAUAAUGGGUCAGCGACUUAAUUUUAGUAGCAAGCUUAACCGAAUAGGGGAGGCGUAGGGAAACCGAGUCUUAAUAGGGCGUAUAGUUGCUAGGAUUAGACCCGAAACCGGGCGAUCUACCCAUGGCCAGGUUGAAGGUUGAGUAACAUCAACUGGAGGACCGAACCCACGUAUGUUGAAAAAUGCGGGGAUGAGCUGUGGGUCGGAGUGAAAGGCUAAUCAAGCCCGGAGAUAGCUGGUUCUCCUCGAAAGCUAUUUAGGUAGCGCCUCGUGUCUCACCAUUGGGGGUAGAGCACUGUUUCGGCUAGGGGGUCAUCCCGACUUACCAACCCGAUGCAAACUCCGAAUACCAAUGAGUGCAAUCACGGGAGACACACGGCGGGUGCUAACGUCCGUCGUGGAAAGGGAAACAACCCAGACCGUCAGCUAAGGUCCCAAAGUUAUAGUUAAGUGGGAAACGAUGUGGGAAGGUUUAGACAGCUAGGAGGUUGGCUUAGAAGCAGCCAUCCUUUAAAGAAAGCGUAAUAGCUCACUAGUCGAAUCGGCCUGCGCGGAAGAUAUAACGGGGCUCAAACUAUACACCGAAGCUACGGACGCAUGCUUGCAUGCGUGGUAGAGGAGCGUUCUGUAGGCCGUUGAAGGGAAAGCUGAGAGGCAUCCUGGAGGUAUCAGAAGUGCGAAUGCUGACAUGAGUAACGAUAAGGGGAGUGAAAAGCUCCCCCGCCGGAAGACCAAGGUUUCCUAUCCAAUGCUAAUCAGGGUAGGGUGAGUCGGCCCCUAAGGCGAGGCUGAAGAGCGUAGUCGAUGGGAAGCAGGUUAAUAUUCCUGCACCACUCAAUAUUGCGAAGGAGGGACGGAGAAGGCUAGUCCAGCGCGGCGUUGGUUGUCCGCGUUUAAGCGUGUAGGCUUAAAUCUUAGGUAAAUCCGGGAUUUUUUAAGGCUGAGGCGUGAUGACGAGGUCCAUUAGGACUGAAGUGGUUGAUGCCAUGCUUCCAGGAAAAGCUUCUAAGCAUCAGAUAUUGAGUGACCGUACCCCAAACCGACACAGGUGGUCAGGUAGAGAAUACCAAGGCGCUUGAGAGAACUCGGGUGAAGGAACUAGGCAAAAUGGUACCGUAACUUCGGGAGAAGGUACGCCGCUGAUGGUGAUGGGACUUGCUCCCUAAGCUGUUGGCGGCCGAAGAUACCAGGUGGCUGCGACUGUUUAUUAAAAACACAGCACUGUGCAAACACGAAAGUGGACGUAUACGGUGUGACGCCUGCCCGGUGCCGGAAGGUUAAUUGAUGGGGUUAGCUUCGGCGAAGCUCUUGAUCGAAGCCCCGGUAAACGGCGGCCGUAACUAUAACGGUCCUAAGGUAGCGAAAUUCCUUGUCGGG
rnacentral:rRNA from 1 species